CACAGCAAUCGAUAUCACUAUAAAUCUUUCUUUUCAUCUAAAGGUUGAUGAAUUUGAUACAUGAAUCCUCCCGUGGUCCAGUGAUCUGCUUCCUCUCUUCCUGCAGGAGCUCUCAGAGCUUAAGAAGUCGCUAAAUGCUGAAGUUGAUCAGCUUCAAACAGGAUUUCAAGAACUGAUGACUGCUCUCCAACAGCAGCAGGAAGACGUUGCAUCCAGCUUUAAAAAUUUAGAGGAUGAUGCAGGAGAGGCGAAGCAGGUUGGAGAUAUAGAAAAUAGCAAGAUUUUAGAUCAAGAUCCACAUAAUUGAAUAUAUUGAAGUUUCUUCACUGUUUAUGCACUACCAUUGCGAUGCUAUUAUGCUAAAUAUGUCAUCCAUCUAUCUAAAUUUUAAUUUCAUUUGCCACUU